rnacentral:rRNA from 1 species
GAUUAUGGCUCAGGAUGAACGCUAGCGGCAGGCCUAACACAUGCAAGUCGAGCGGUAGAGGACCUUCGGGUCCUUGAGAGCGGCGCACGGGUGCGUAACGCGUAUGCAACCUACCCUUUACAGGGGAAUAGCCCGUCGAAAGGCGGAUUAAUGCCCCAUGGCUCCUUCGAGAGGCAUCUCUUGGAGGGUAAAGAUUUAUCGGUAAAGGAUGGGCAUGCGUGCCAUUAGCUUGAUGGUGGGGUAACGGCCCACCAUGGCGACGAUGGCUAGGGGUUCUGAGAGGAAGGCCCCCCACACUGGGACUGAGACACGGCCCAGACUCCUACGGGAGGCAGCAGUGAGGAAUAUUGGUCAAUGGGCGGAAGCCUGAACCAGCCAAUGCCGCGUGCGGGAAGAAGGCGCUACGCGUCGUAAACCGCUUUUGUCCGGGGGUAACCGUAGGGACGUGUCCCUACCUGCAAGUACCGGACGAAUAAGGGUCGGCUAACUCCGUGCCAGCAGCUGC